GACCGUCCGAUCUCAGAACAUCUCCCCCCAUCUUAAGGUCCACAUCGCCACUUUACGCAUCUCUAGACCUCCUUAUGGCCACCGCUUCCGCCGGGGGACCUGUUUCUGACUGCGAGUCCACGCUUUCGCACCCCUCGUUUGUCCUAAUCUAUGGGACCAUCAGGUGCGGCAUUUGCUACAGCUGAACCUCCAACACGGGAACUCCGCACCGAAGGCCUCGAUUGCGCAAUUCAGCUGGCGGACCCCUCAUGCCGGCGUUCCAAUUUUGAGUUUACUUAACUGCCCCCGGGCGUGUUCGCCACCUCGUACACCAAAUUAAGCUACGUUGCGCUUCUUGGAAUGGAUGAGAACUGUAGGUCUCUUGAAUCGUCUCUACGAAACCACGGAAGCCCUUGAGACUCUGUCCACGACGUACCGACAGCAGUCGAGCACAACACUUUACAACCCAAUUCAGGGCGUUGCUCGCGUUGGGAAUAGGAAACAACGGUCGCCAAGCCGGCCCUUGAGUUUCCUCUGACGGUCACUAUUUGACCUCCUUCCACCCCUACUGCAGUUCAGUAGUACCGGGAAUGCUCAUCCCGAUGUGUGCACGAUGUUACCGCGUAUGUUUCUCUUCGCUGGAGCGCUCUCGUUCGCCUGGAGUAUUUCACGCAGCAUCAGGCCUAACCUCAGACGUUGAGCUGAGGUACUUCAGCCUUAGCGAUCAUUAGCAUCUAGUCUUACGAUGCCACUUAUGCAAGGGCCCGGAACAUGUGUGGCGGGCAGUGUGGUACCCUCACCCAACGUUUUCUUCAUCCAUC
rnacentral:rRNA from 1 species